GAGCGCAGUUGGUAGAGUAUGAGGCUCUUAAGCUUAGGGUUGUGGGUUUGAGCCCCACAUUGGACA